AACGAACGCUGGCGGCAGGCUUAACACAUGCAAGUCGAACGCCCCGCAAGGGGAGUGGCAGACGGGUGAGUAACGCGUGGGAAUCUACCGUGCCCUGCGGAAUAGCUCCGGGAAACUGGAAUUAAUACCGCAUACGCCCUACGGGGGAAAGAUUUAUCGGGGUAUGAUGACGCCCGCGUUGGAUUAGCUAGUUGGUAGGG
rnacentral:rRNA from 1 species